rnacentral:rRNA from 1 species
AUUGAACGCUGGCGGCAGGCCUAACACAUGCAAGUCGAGCGGAUGAAGGGAGCUUGCUCCUGGAUUCAGCGGCGGACGAGUGAGUAAUGCCUAGGAAUCUGCCUGGUAGUGGGGGAUAACGUCCGGAAACGGGCGCUAAUACCGCAUACGUCCUGAGGGAGAAAGUGGGGGAUCUUCGGACCUCACGCUAUCAGCUGAGCCUAGGUCGGAUUAGCUAGUUGGUGGGGUAAAGGCCUACCAAGGCGACGAUCCGUAACUGGUCUGAGAGGAUGAUCAGUCACACUGGAACUGAGACACGGCCCAGACUCCUACGGGAGGCAGCAGUGGGGAAUAUUGGACAAUGGGCGAAAGCCUGAUCCAGCCAUGCCGCGUGUGUGAAGAAGGUCUUCGGAUUGUAAAGCACUUUAAGUUGGGAGGAAGGGCAGUAAGUUAAUACCUUGCUGUUUUGACGUUACCAACAGAAUAAGCACCGGCUAACUUCGUG